rnacentral:rRNA from 1 species
GAUGAACGCUGGCGGCGUGCCUAAUACAUGCAAGUCGAGCGAACAGACGAGGAGCUUGCUCCUCUCACGUUAGCCGCGGACGGGUGAGUAACACGUGUAUAACCUACCUAUAAGACUGGGAUAACUUCGGGAAACCGGCGCUUAUACCAGAUAAUCUAUUGAACCGCAUUGUUCAAUAGUGAGAGUCGGCUUUGCUGUCACUUCUCGCUGCAUCCGCGCCGCAUUGGCUGGUUGUUACGUUAACGGCUUAGCACGGCGAGGAUGCGUAGCCGACCUACCGGGGGGGUCGGCGACAUGGGAGCGGAACCACGGACAAGACUACUACGGGAGGCAGCAGUAGGGAAUCGGCCGCAAUGGGCGAAAGCCUGACGGAGCAAGGCCGCGUGAGUGAUGAAGGUGUUCGGAGCGUAAAACUCUCUUUUUAGGGAAGAACAAAUGUGUAAGGAGCUAUGCACGGCUUGACGGUAACUAAUCAGAAAGCAACGGCUAACUACGUG